rfam:Bacillus cereus ATCC 14579, complete genome.
GGUUAAGUUAGAAAGGGCGCACGGUGGAUGCCUUGACACUAGGAGUCGAUGAAGGACGGGACUAACGCCGAUAUGCUUCGGGGAGCUGUAAGUAAGCUUUGAUCCGAAGAUUUCCGAAUGGGGAAACCCACCAUACGUAAUGGUAUGGUAUCCUUAUCUGAAUACAUAGGGUAAGGAAGACAGACCCAGGGAACUGAAACAUCUAAGUACCUGGAGGAAGAGAAAGCAAAUGCGAUUUCCUGAGUAGCGGCGAGCGAAACGGAACAUAGCCCAAACCAAGAGGCUUGCCUCUUGGGGUUGUAGGACAUUCUAUACGGAGUUACAAAGGAACGAGGUAGACGAAGCGACCUGGAAAGGUCCGUCGUAGAGGGUAACAACCCCGUAGUCGAAACUUCGUUCUCUCUUGAAUGUAUCCUGAGUACGGCGGAACACGUGAAAUUCCGUCGGAAUCUGGGAGGACCAUCUCCCAAGGCUAAAUACUCCCUAGUGAUCGAUAGUGAACCAGUACCGUGAGGGAAAGGUGAAAAGCACCCCGGAAGGGGAGUGAAAGAGAUCCUGAAACCGUGUGCCUACAAAUAGUCAGAGCCCGUUAACGGGUGAUGGCGUGCCUUUUGUAGAAUGAACCGGCGAGUUACGAUCCCGUGCGAGGUUAAGCUGAAGAGGCGGAGCCGCAGCGAAAGCGAGUCUGAAUAGGGCGUUUAGUACGUGGUCGUAGACCCGAAACCAGGUGAUCUACCCAUGUCCAGGGUGAAGUUCAGGUAACACUGAAUGGAGGCCCGAACCCACGCACGUUGAAAAGUGCGGGGAUGAGGUGUGGGUAGCGGAGAAAUUCCAAUCGAACCUGGAGAUAGCUGGUUCUCCCCGAAAUAGCUUUAGGGCUAGCCUUAAGUGUAAGAGUCUUGGAGGUAGAGCACUGAUUGGACUAGGGGUCCUCAUCGGAUUACCGAAUUCAGUCAAACUCCGAAUGCCAAUGACUUAUCCUUAGGAGUCAGACUGCGAGUGAUAAGAUCCGUAGUCAAAAGGGAAACAGCCCAGACCGCCAGCUAAGGUCCCAAAGUGUGUAUUAAGUGGAAAAGGAUGUGGAGUUGCUUAGACAACUAGGAUGUUGGCUUAGAAGCAGCCACCAUUUAAAGAGUGCGUAAUAGCUCACUAGUCGAGUGACUCUGCGCCGAAAAUGUACCGGGGCUAAAUACACCACCGAAGCUGCGGAUUGAUACCAAUGGUAUCAGUGGUAGGGGAGCGUUCUAAGGACAGUGAAGUCAGACCGGAAGGACUGGUGGAGUGCUUAGAAGUGAGAAUGCCGGUAUGAGUAGCGAAAGACGGGUGAGAAUCCCGUCCACCGAAUGCCUAAGGUUUCCUGAGGAAGGCUCGUCCGCUCAGGGUUAGUCAGGACCUAAGCCGAGGCCGACAGGCGUAGGCGAUGGACAACAGGUUGAUAUUCCUGUACCACCUCUUUAUCGUUUGAGCAAUGGAGGGACGCAGAAGGAUAGAAGAAGCGUGCGAUUGGUUGUGCACGUCCAAGCAGUUAGGCUGAUAAGUAGGCAAAUCCGCUUAUCGUGAAGGCUGAGCUGUGAUGGGGAAGCUCCUUAUGGAGCGAAGUCUUUGAUUCCCCGCUGCCAAGAAAAGCUUCUAGCGAGAUAAAAGGUGCCUGUACCGCAAACCGACACAGGUAGGCGAGGAGAGAAUCCUAAGGUGUGCGAGAGAACUCUGGUUAAGGAACUCGGCAAAAUGACCCCGUAACUUCGGGAGAAGGGGUGCUUUCUUAACGGAAAGCCGCAGUGAAUAGGCCCAAGCGACUGUUUAGCAAAAACACAGCUCUCUGCGAAGCCGUAAGGCGAAGUAUAGGGGGUGACACCUGCCCGGUGCUGGAAGGUUAAGGAGAGGGGUUAGCGUAAGCGAAGCUCUGAACUGAAGCCCCAGUAAACGGCGGCCGUAACUAUAACGGUCCUAAGGUAGCGAAAUUCCUUGUCGGGUAAGUUCCGACCCGCACGAAAGGUGUAACGAUUUGGGCACUGUCUCAACCAGAGACUCGGUGAAAUUAUAGUACCUGUGAAGAUGCAGGUUACCCGCGACAGGACGGAAAGACCCCGUGGAGCUUUACUGUAGCCUGAUAUUGAAUUUUGGUACAGUUUGUACAGGAUAGGCGGGAGCCAUUGAAACCGGAGCGCUAGCUUCGGUGGAGGCGCUGGUGGGAUACCGCCCUGACUGUAUUGAAAUUCUAACCUACGGGUCUUAUCGACCCGGGAGACAGUGUCAGGUGGGCAGUUUGACUGGGGCGGUCGCCUCCUAAAGUGUAACGGAGGCGCCCAAAGGUUCCCUCAGAAUGGUUGGAAAUCAUUCGUAGAGUGCAAAGGCAUAAGGGAGCUUGACUGCGAGACCUACAAGUCGAGCAGGGACGAAAGUCGGGCUUAGUGAUCCGGUGGUUCCGCAUGGAAGGGCCAUCGCUCAACGGAUAAAAGCUACCCCGGGGAUAACAGGCUUAUCUCCCCCAAGAGUCCACAUCGACGGGGAGGUUUGGCACCUCGAUGUCGGCUCAUCGCAUCCUGGGGCUGUAGUCGGUCCCAAGGGUUGGGCUGUUCGCCCAUUAAAGCGGUACGCGAGCUGGGUUCAGAACGUCGUGAGACAGUUCGGUCCCUAUCCGUCGUGGGCGUAGGAAAUUUGAGAGGAGCUGUCCUUAGUACGAGAGGACCGGGAUGGACGCACCGCUGGUGUACCAGUUGUUCUGCCAAGGGCAUAGCUGGGUAGCUAUGUGCGGAAGGGAUAAGUGCUGAAAGCAUCUAAGCAUGAAGCCCCCCUCAAGAUGAGAUUUCCCAUAGCGUAAGCUAGUAAGAUCCCUGAAAGAUGAUCAGGUUGAUAGGUUCGAGGUGGAAGCAUGGUGACAUGUGGAGCUGACGAAUACUAAUAGAUCGAGGACUUAACCAU